rnacentral:rRNA from 1 species
UACGUAGGUUGCAAGCGUUAAUCGGAAUUACUGGGCGUAAAGCGUGCGCAGGCGGUUUUGUAAGUUUGUCGUGAAAGCCCCGGGCUCAACCUGGGAAUUGCGAUGGAGACUGCAAGGCUUGAAUCUGGCAGAGGGGGGUAGAAUUCCACGUGUAGCAGUGAAAUGCGUAGAGAUGUGGAGGAACACCGAUGGCGAAGGCAGCCCCCUGGGUCAAGAUUGACGCUCAUGCACGAAAGCGUGGGGAGCAAACAGG